CUCACCUGUAAUCCUAGCACUUUGGGAGGGUGAGGCAGGCAGAUGGUUUGAGCCUAGGAGUUUAAGACCAGCCUGGGCAAAAUGGUGAAACCCCUUCUCCACCAGAAAUACAAAAAAUUAGCCGGGUGAGGUGGCUCAUGCCUGUAGUCCCAGCUACUCCGGAAGCUGAGGUGGGAGGAUCACCUGAGCCUGGGGAGGUCGCGGCUGCAGUGAGCCAUGAUUAACCCACAACUGCACUCCGCCUGGGUGACAGAGUGAGGCCCUG
rnacentral:lncRNA from 1 species